UCCUGCCUUGUUGCUUUAAGACAAGUUUACUACAUUUUUCAUUUUUUUUGUUUCAGAAAAGCGACAAUCUUGUAUGCGCUUACUGGAAUUAUUCCGCUAACGAAGAUGCCGGAGGUUGGAAUACCAAAGGCUGCACGUUAGUCUCGAACGAGUAUGGCCGAGUUGUUUGCAAGUGUAAUCACCUUACCAAUUUUGCUGUGCUCAUAGACCUGGAAGCUGGGGGUAUCUCCGACACAGACAAGCUCGUUUUAGGCAUCAUUACAAAAAUUGGACUUAUUAUCUCAAUCAUCGGCCUUGGGAUCACAAUUUUGACGUUCCUGAUGUUUAAGUAAGUAAAAUAUUUGUUUAAAAUGAUGUACAUGUAUAUCUGUUUGUUUUUUUU